CAUCUGCGAAUCUCAACUGACUGAGCUUCUCUCCAUUUAUGUUGAUACCAUAUUCGUUCAGAUCUGCCUUCUUAAAACUGUGUCAAAUAUUAUACCUUGUCAAAAAAGAUCAAAAACUCAGGACAAAUUCAAGUUAAACUUAACGGUGUUUGCGGGCCAUACAUUGUAAGAUGACUAUGCCAAAAUUAGAUGUACCUACAAGAUGGCAUUCAACUUUCGAAAUGCUAACAUGGGGGUUAAAGUGUAACAAAUGCUUUAACUAUAUUUUGCGACAACGUCGAAAAUCUAAAUAAUUGCAAAAUAUUAGAUAACGAAUGGGUUCAGAUCAUUAAAUUUUGUCAAUAUCUUUAAGGUGACCAACUGUACUCAUUUACUGAGUUUUGUACUCUUUUUUCGCAAACCAUACUCCUUUCAAAUCCUGUACUCUGAAAGUACUCAUUUGUAUAAUUUUAUACUCAUUGUGAACGGAUAUAAUGGAUAGUGAACUUUAGAGCAUUAAAUUAUUUCAAAUGGACCCUUCUAAACAAUAAACUUGAAUGGAAAGAAUUUUCUUCAGCAGUUGAAUUUGUAAUGAAUGAAGUGCAAGAUAUUGUUAUUAAUGACCAUUUUCUCUUUGAAGAAAUUCGAAGAGUAAAUUUAUAUUUAAAUGAAGACAAAUUGAAGAAAUGGAACAAUGAGAAAAUAGAACUUGAAAAAAGAUGGGCAGAAAUCUUUCGGCAUUUUAGAGUAGAACAUAGGUAUCCCACAUGAAAAUUUAAAAGUUUUAAUAGAAAGCUUAUGUUGUCCAGACCCUAAUUAAUGCUGCUGUUUUGAAAGGGUAUUUUCACUAGGGAAUAAUUAUUGGAGCAGUGAGAAGUCGCAACUUUCUGUAAAAACAUUAUCUGCCGUCUUAGCAGUCAAAUUUAAUAUGCAAAAUAAAAGUUGUUCGGAUGUGGCUACAUUAUUAUAGGAACAUCCUCAUUUAGCAAAAAAAUGCACUCCAAAGAAAAAUAUGUUUUUAAAAGAAAAUAAAGUUUUUAUCCUUUUUUAUUCUUUUUUUUUGUUUCGCCUAUCAAAUACAGUAGACUCCAUCUAUAACGAGAAAUGAAAUGGCGGCCUAAUUACCUCGUUAUAAGAGGAUCUCGUUAUAUCAGACAACAGUAAUAUUGAUGUUUUGAUAUCUCUUACGUAGUUUAUUAGGGGUCGAUGGUGAACAAUGAGACCUCGCCAUCGUAAAUUUCCUACAAUAAUCAAUAUCGGUCGAUACUCAGGAAGAAGUUUAUUGCAGGCGGCGAAGCAUAUUACAGCACUUGCCUCGAUAAUAACAUAGAUGUUAGGGAUUUCUAUAUACAGCCAGUUGGGGUGUUAAUUUAUAGCCAUUACUGCCCUAAAAACAGGUAAAAAACAUAUUUUUCGGUUUCAUUUUUCCUCGUUAUAACCAAAUAUUCCUCGUUAUAGAGGGUUAUAGUUCAAUAGGAAUUUCAUGGGACACCAAAUGUACCUCGUUAUAAGCGAAACCUCGUAAUAUCCGUGUUCGUUAUAGAGUCCACUGUACUUGCAAAGUGUACUUUUUUUGAACAAAAAA
rnacentral:lncRNA from 1 species